UGGGGCUCGGGAGCCCGGGAAUCCUUUGGAAAGGAGGAGGACGAUGUCCCCACGGCUCCCCUGUGCCCAACCCCGCCCUGCCCGGCCAGGAGGGCACAGGAUCCCUUCGGGAUCACUUUGGGAACACUCUGGCAUCAGAGCCCGUGGCCUCGCCCCAGCGGGGACGUUUGGUGCUGUGGGGGAUGUGGAUCCUCGGGAUGAGGGGAAGGAGCGGGUGAGGCCGGCACAGGCGAGCCAGGCACGAGCUUCCAAAGGUCACCAAUUUAUGGAGAGCUCCACAGCACGGCCACACCUGGCAAAAAAUCCAGGAAAAACCCGGAUUGUGGCCUCUGCCCACCCCGGAAUGCGUCAGCGACACCAAACCAAACACUGACAUCCAAAAAGCCUUGUACCCAUGGAAUAACAGCCAGGCAGGAUGGGUGCCAGGGAAGCAGAGAAAUCAGAGCAUCAAAACCAGCAAUGAAGGUGAUGUCAAGGGUUCGCCUUUCCCUUGAUUUAUCCCAUCAUUCCCGCGCUCAGGCUCCGGGAAUCUUGCACCUUCUGCAGAUGUGCUGCCUGAUUAAAAUGAUGCAACAUUUUU